UUCUAGAUGACUCUAAUGGUGCAUGGAGGGAGCUGCUCUCCUCCCACAUCCAGGACUUCUUCAGCUUUUGUUUGAGAAGCUCUCAGGCCUCCAGCCGCUCUGCCACACCUCUAAACUCGGACUCUGAGUCAGACACUGUCAGCCCGGGUUUGUACGACAAAACUUCUCUGCGUACCAUGUUGGCUGUUAUUGACUAUCUGAGACAUCAGCAGAGACCACUGGAAGUAGAGAGCUGUGCCACAGUGUGUGGCUCAAACUUCUGGCUGGAGCUGAACUACCUGGAGGUGGCCAAAGCUGCUCAGUCCUGCUCGGCACAUUUCACCGCUCUACUGUACACUGAGAUCUACGUGGAUAAGAUCAAAGCUAACAUGGAAGAAAG